GGUGAGGUAAGUCAGAUACGACAUUUCCAGUGUGUGUUUAGACUGAGACCAAGAAAGGUCGGGUGAAACACCUGAGGACAAACAGUGAACGAGGGACUGGGCUGGGACUUGAACGAGAGCCUUUUUAUUGUAAGGUUGAAUUUCCUCAUCUGUCAAAAGGAGAUACUAACGUCUGCUCUGCAAACUGUUGUAAAGAUCACAGAUGUGCAGGUGCUCUGCAAAGCAUGAGGAGGAGGAGGAUGGUGAUGAUAACUGAAUAAUACUGAAUAAUAAUUAGCAGUAAUACUCCAAACAAGCAGUUCAGCACAAGAAGAGGCUCUCUUAACUCUACCCAUGAUGAUUUAGUAAAUAAAAUACUAAAAGUGCUUCAUUCUGAGAGGGUCUUCUCUACAAAGGCAUUCCUCAGACAGAACCAGGGAGAAAACCAGUAUACUCCGCUCCUGAAUGUGUUGAAGCUACUUUUAAUUACAUCAGAUAAAGAUACGAGGAGCCUGACUGCACUCAACAGAUGGAAGACAUUUCAAACGUUCAUUUUCCAUCACUGACAAAUUCCAGCAACUAACACAAAACGUCUCAACUUUAAGAGACCCUCACCAUUCAUAAGAUUUCAGGAUUCCGAAAACGUCCCCUUCCAUUCCCUCAGGUCUGGUGGUCGCGCAAUCAGUUUUCCUGUGGCCACGCGACUUUGUUUAUAAAAGAGUUUAGUAACCAGCGUAAAAAGAGCAUCUAGACAUGCUGACAUUGGGAUCACCGGGGUCACAGGGAGAUGUCUGAGGUCACAUGUUUACCCUGUCGCUGUGAAUCGUUUAUUACAAUUUUUUUAAACAGGAUGGGGUGGGGAUACAGCACAAAUGCUUAGCGCCAAGAACAUGGUCAGAAGUGCUGCCUGGACUAGAGAAUAAAAAGGAACCUUUCCCGGGGAAAGGUAGGGUGACACCACGCAACCUUACCUUUUGGAAAAAGACCGGAGCGCCCAGCACUGAAUGCUUACCUGAGGCCACCGGAGCCGGGGGUCAUUUUGGGUGUCGCUCAUUUGCCUGCCUAUAACAUUCCAAUGACAUUCUACCAGUUUUCUGCAUGCCAGUCAUGACAAGCGUCCACUUAAGGUUCUGGGAAGGGGCAGAGGAGGGAGACUGCAAGCGAAGAAGUGAGCAAAAGAGAAAGAGGUCCCAGCACACCGCAUACCCGGCUGGAGGGGAGUCACAUGCAGCGGGGAGCCAUUCCUGCCGCAUUACACAUGCUGAGUGUAAAUGGCAAACAAUAGCAGUCGAUGUUUAUGCCACAUGUUCUCAGCCUCUUCACAUAUCAACACCCAGGCCAACUCUACACAGACAGGCCUCCAGAGAGCGCCUCUGAAGCGGGGCCCUGGAGCUAAUCACGUGGCCAUUUUCAAUAAAAUUCCUAAGCCUCCUGU